GAUGACAAUGAAAGAAAGGCGCAGGCGAGAAUCUUCGGUGUGGAGGUUAUUCUUAGAUGAUCCGGUCGCACGCGACUGUGGACGGCAAUUUGUGUUCCUGAUUUGAUUUGUUUUUAAAAAUCAAAUUUAAAAAUACGUAUUAUUCGUAUUUAUCUUAUUAAAAUUAGGUAGAAAAAUAUGGUUAUAAUUGUGGUAAAUCGUUAUCGGUGAAGGUUAAUCCAAUUUCCGGAUAUGCCGGCGGAAAAAAUCAAUUUUGUUUUCUGUAUAUAAUUUUUAUAAUUUCGAGAUCCAUGGCAGCUAAGCAUCCCGACACGCUUUAUUGCUGCGAUAUUUGUGGAGAGGAAGAGCUAACGGAAGAUGAUAUGAGAUCUCAUACCAUGAUCGCCCACAUAGAAGGGGCCAUAUCAUGCCCCUUUUGUGAUCUGGGAGACAUUUCUGCCGACGAAAUGGUCUAUCACGUUAGUACAGUGCAUCUCCAGUAUUUAAGCCCCGUGGGUGACAAGAUGAGGUGUGCCUCCACGUCAAAUGAUUCUUUGGAACGGUUCGUGAUGACCGAUAAUAAUAAUUCUGCCAGCGAAAGUAACGUGGGAUGUUAUUCGCCGCAUAGAGGGAAUCUUUCUUUGAAUUUGCCUCCUUCGCAGUGGAGGAGGGAUAUUUCCAGUCCUAGAGUCACAAAUGGUGAUAGGAUCACCACUUGUCCUCUCUGUGAUUACGGAAAUCCCUCGCCCACUAAACUUCAGGAACACAUCAACCGUCAACAUUUUGAUCUCACUAGUCCAUCGUUUCCAGACUUUGUUAACUGUGACCGAUCUCACAACAGACCCUUCACCUGUCCUCUGUGCAACAGGAACUUUGAGACCAGUCCCGACUUGGAACUGCACGUCAACAUGGACCAUCGAGACGUUCUCAGUCCCGCGAAAUCCACUCAGGUGACUCCCGGUGAUGAAAAUUCUAAUGAGUGUUGUCCCGUGUGUGGUUGCUCUAAUUUUAAUUGUGGCCUUGAAUUGGCUUCUCACAUAGAAGAGCACUUUAGUCAACAGUCUCCUAAUGGAAUGGUAUCUGCUUCUCGAACGCCUAUAAAUUUCGUGAGUCCGGUAGUAAACGAUGGUGAUGCUAGUGCAGAUCAUCUAUUGGCAUUGGAAAUGGAACACAGGGAGCGGGAGCAGCAACGUCUUAGAGAACAACAAGAAUUUCGUUUAUUGCAGGCACAAUAUGGCAUGGAUAACCAGGGAAAUUUCAGGGAACAAUCUAUCACAAAUAUGCAGAGAGCUGUUUAUGCUGGAGAAAUGAGUGUAACAGAUUAUUACAAUCGCCAAGUAGAACUUUGUAUUGCAGAAAGAGAUGGAGUAGACGAUGGCCAUUCUUGUAUUAAAGGUUUAAUACCAAAAAUAAGAGCUUUCAGCAUGGCUACUACUAAUGUAGAACAUACGUGGCUUUGUACCACUGUUGAUCAUUAUGGUUCCACUUACGGAGAUAAAGGAUGGGGAUGUGGGUAUCGUAACAUUCAGAUGCUGCUAUCAGCUUUAGUGCAUCAUACAGGUUAUAAUCACCGAUUAUUUAAUGGAAAGAAUUCAAUUCCUUCAAUAUCCAAAUUGCAAGAAUUAAUAGAAAAUGCUUGGCGCCAUGGUUUUGAUCCUCAAGGAUGUGAGCAGCUUGGAGGAAGGCUCACAAACACAAGAAAAUGGAUUGGUGCUACAGAAGUUGUUACUUUUCUUUCUUCAUUUCGUAUUAAGUGUAUUUUAAUAGACUGCCAUACUGCUACGGGUCCAAAUGGUACACACCCCGAAAUGUUUCAGUGGGUGAAGGAAUAUUUCACAAAAGAUGAUGAUUUUCUUUCUCCAAUCUACCUCCAACACCAUGGGCACAGUAGGACUAUUAUUGGAAUUGAGGAAUUAAAAGAUGGAGAACUUCAGCUAUUAGUAUUUGAUCCUAGUCAUAGUAAAGCUCAAAUGGAGCAAUUCAAUAACACUGCCUGUAAUGCUAAUGCCAUGCGUCUAGUACGGCGGCCACUGUCUGCACUGAAAGCUCGACAAUAUCAACUAGUCACCGUAAAUGGACUUAUGGAAACAGAGGAAGAAUUUCAGAAAAGCAAAAUCCUACGUUCUCAACGAAUCCCUCCAAACUAAAAGCUUUCCUUUGGACUUGCCUUCUGUAAUAUGCUUCUGCGGGCAGCAUAUCCUUAUCUUCAUUCUCUUUCGAAAAUGGUUAAGGAUGUCCAGAGUGAUAAUUAUAUUGUAGGAGAAACUUUUUAUAUUCGACUCAUUUUUUAACAGCUUAUUACUCAAAGGUUAUAAUUUGUAUCGUGUUUUUGUUACAAACACCAAAAAAAAAAAUAAUAAAAAAUACUCUUCCGUUUGUUUGUUUUUAAGUGCGAUACUUGCCCGGCUUUGAAAAAAUUGUAAUUCACGAUUAUUUAGAGAGCUAUGCACCGAAUGUGUUGACGAAAAAUAUUCCACUUUACUCCAAGCUGAAAUUGGCAAUGCUAAAUAAUGUUUAAAUCAAAUUUUGGCAACUGAGGAUUGUAAGUUUAUUGUUGAUAAAUUUGUUGUUUGCUGCUCAACAACUUCAAAAAGACGAAUGAUGUGUAAGAUAAUGGUAAGGAAUUAUGUGCCUUACUGAAAAUGUGUAGCAGAUGAAUUGUGAAGUUUGUAAGAAAAAGAAGCAUGUUUUGAUGAUAGAAUAAAAAGUAAAACUUU
rnacentral:misc_RNA from 1 species